AUUUUUUUAAUAUAUUAAGUAUAAUUGGCUUCCAACCAGUAAGUCUAGGAUCUCCCAGAAAAAAUA
rnacentral:tRNA from 1 species